rnacentral:pre_miRNA from 1 species
UCUUACGGAUGAGCAAAUAAAGUAGUUUCUUGAGAUGGAAUCUACUACUUCUGAAGAUGCUUAGAA